rnacentral:rRNA from 1 species
CGGCGUGCCUAAUACAUGCAAGUCGAGCGGACAGAAGGGAGCUUGCUCCCGGAUGUUAGCGGCGGACGGGUGAGUAACACGUGGGUAACCUGCCUGAAGACUGGGAUAACUCCGGGAAACCGGAGCUAAUACCGGAUAGUUCCUUGAACCGCAUGGUUCAAGGAUGAAAGACGGUUUCGGCUGUCACUUACAGAUGGACCCGCGGCGCAUUAGCUAGUUGGUGAGGUAACGGCUCACCAAGGCGACGAUGCGUAGCCGACCUGAGAGGGUGAUCGGCCACACUGGGACUGAGACACGGCCCAGACUCCUACGGGAGGCAGCAGUAGGGAAUCUUCCGCAAUGGACGAAAGUCUGACGGAGCAACGCCGCGUGAGUGAUGAAGGUUUUCGGAUCGUAAAGCUCUGUUGUUAGGGAAGAACAAGUGCAAGAGUAACUGCUUGCACCUUGACGGUACCUAACCAGAAAGCCACGGCUAACUACGUGCCAGCAGCC